rnacentral:rRNA from 1 species
AAUGAACGCUGGCGGCGCGCCUAAUACAUGCAAGUCGAGCGAGAAGACGUAGCAAUACGUUUGUAAAGCGGCGAACGGGUGAGGAAUACAUGGGUAACCUACCCUCGAGUGGGGAAUAACUAGCCGAAAGGUUAGCUAAUACCGCGUACGCUCCUUGGACUUCGGUUCAGGGAGGAAAGCGAUACCGUGGGUAUCGCGCUCUUGGUUGGGCUCAUGUCCUAUCAGCUUGUUGGGAGGUAACGGCUCACCAAGGCUUCGACGGGUAGCUGGUCUGAGAGGAUGAUCAGCCACACUGGGACUGAGACACGGCCCAGACUCCUACGGGAGGCAGCAGUGGGGAAUCUUGGACAAUGGGCGCAAGCCUGAUCCAGCCAUGCCGCGUGGGUGAAGAAGGCC